ACCAGACUCCUACGGGAGGCAGCAGUGGGGAAUAUUGCACAAUGGGCGCAAGCCUGAUGCAGCCAUGCCGCGUGUAUGAAGAAGGCCUUCGGGUUGUAAAGUACUUUCAGCGGGGUGGAAGGCGUUGAGGUUAAUAACCUCAGCAAUUGACGUUACCCGCAGAAGAAGCACCGGCUAACUCCGUGCCAGCAGCCGCGGUAAUACGGAGGGUGCAAGCGUUAAUCGGAAUUACUGGGCGUAAAGCGCACGCAGGCGGUUGAUUGAGUCAGAGGUGAAAUCCCCGGGCUUAGCCCGGGAAGUGCAUCUGAUACUGGUCAGCUAGAGUCUUGUAGAGGGGGGUAGAAUUCCAUGUGUAGCGGUGAAAUGCGUAGAGAUGUGGAGGAAUACCGGUGGCGAAGGCGGCCCCCUGGACAAAGACUGACGCUCAGGUGCGAAAGCGUGGGGAGCAAACAGGAUUAGAUACCCUUGUA
rnacentral:rRNA from 1 species